rnacentral:rRNA from 1 species
UACGAAGGGGGCAAGCGUUACUCGGAAUUACUGGGCGUAAAGGGUGCGUAGGUGGUCGUUUAAGUCCGUUGUGAAAUCCCUGGGCUCAACCUGGGAAUGGCAGUGGAUACUGGACGGCUAGAAUGCGGUAGAGGGUAGUGGAAUUCCCGGUGUAGCAGUGAAAUGCGUAGAGAUCGGGAGGAGCAUCCGUGGCGAAGGCGACUACCUGGACCGGCACCGACACUGAGGCACGAAAGCGUGGGGAGCAAACAGG